UUAAGAAAAUAUUGUGGUAAUAUAAAUUAAAACUUUCAGUUGUAUGAAAUAUGUUGUAAAUUCCCGAUCUUACAAUGGUGGAAGCAAUUGUUUCCAAUCAAACCCCAACCACUUGUAAUGUAAUCUGAGUAAAUUUUCUUUUUAGCGAAGUUUUACAUUUAACAAAUAUUCUGCCAAAUCCGAGAGAAAAGAAUUUGUUAAAAAUAAACUUUCCUUUAAAAAAUGCAAUUAAAAUACUCGAAAUAUUACAUCUAUGACGUAAAACUCGUGACGUAACGCGUGACGCAUUGCAACGACAAAUUCGAAUUCGUUCCAUUUCGUAUUGUUGCCGACGCCAUCUUGGAAAUUUAUGCUUUCCGGAAAUUGCGAGUUCUUUUUCCCUCCAUUUUAACAUUUUUCGUACAAAUUUUAAUAAUGAAAACUCGCGUAACGUAGGUAACUUAAUAUUUUUCGAUUUAUAUCAAAAUUAAAUAAUUUAAAUUAGAUACGCUUUAAACCUAGAUUUGCGGCCUGUAACCUGUAAGGUUACGGAAUGCGUUUUUAUAAUUUUAUUUAUUAUUACAAAUAUCUUAGCGAUAUUUUACAAAAAAAGAGGACUAUUUUAGCAUUUUAAAGAAAACAUUUGCAAUUAGUUAAUAUUCUGACGUAGAACUUAUGACGUAACGUGUGACGCAUUUAUCGCACGUUCCACCGAUUCGAAUUCGUUCGAUUUCGUAUUGCCGACGCCAUCUUGAAAUAGAAAGUUUUCUGGAAAUUGCGAGUUAUUUUUCCCUCCAUUUCGAGAUUUUUCGUAAAUGUUUAAUUACAUAAACCCGAAUAACGCAGGCAAUGAAGAAGUAUCAUUCUCAAAUUUUAUAAUCCACUUUCCAAAGAGACAUGGAAUCAUUUUAAAAACUUCUUGUGCUCAAAAAAUUAACAAGAAGCAAAACAAAGGAAAGGAAGAAGUAUCAUUCUCAAGUUUUAUAAUCCACUUUCCAAAGAGACAUGGAAUCAUUUUAAAAACUUCUUUGCUCAAACAAUUAACAAGAAGCAAAACAAAAAAAAGAUUUAACUGAUUGUGAGCACUUAAAGCCAGGAGUUGUGUGACAUCAUUUAGGCUUCUGACAUACCAAUAGAGCAGCUAUGUGACAUGUAUGUAUGAAAAUUACUUUGUGGAUAAUCAACUCAAUGGUUAUCUGCUCCACACACCUUCCUUUAGAAAAUGUUGAUAUUGAACUUUGUCACUGCAAUCUUUUAACAAACAUUUCCAUUAUGACAAAGAGCAUGCAACAUUUUCUUCUAUAAAUGGUCAGUGAACUACUUUACUUUACUUUUAUAUUCCCGGGACCAUUUUAAUUUUAAAUUUUGUAAAAAUUGGCAUUCAGAGUUUGAUUUGUCUUGAUGUUCAUUUUGGAUUAAUUAGCCCUAUGUUAAUUAAGCACAAUAAAAUUAGGUUCAAAUUUUCUUUAUCAUAUAUAAUGUAAUAGAGAUAGCUGUAAAAGCAGAUUAUAAAUUAUGAAUUAUUGUA